CUUAGAACUAUGCACUGACCUUAAACUCAAGAGUCACCUUAAAAAGGAUAGGAUGACUUCCAGAGCUGAAUUAGGUAGUUUCCGUAGAGACUUUGGAUUUGGAAACAUAGAUCCACCCCCUUCAAUCUAAGAAGAGUUCUAAGAAACAUUCCUUUAAGUCAAAAAAAUCUAGAAAACAUAUUUCUAGAGACAAACCUUCUCCUUCCAAAAAGAAAUUUAGGAAGAAAAGACCUUCCCAUAAGGAAGAUGUUUGCUGGAACUGUGGAAAAUCCGGUCAUAGAGCCAA
rnacentral:lncRNA from 1 species